GACGAACGCUGGCGGCGUGCCUAAUACAUGCAAGUCGAACGCAGUGGGGACGGGUGAGUAACACGUGGGUAACCUCCCAUCAGAGGGGAUAACACUUGGAAACGGGUGCUAAACCGAUACUGAUGGAUGGACCCGCGGUGCAUUAGCUAGUUGGUGAGGUAACGGCUCACCAAGGCCACGAUGCAUAGCCGAGCUGAGAGGGGGAUCGGCCACACUGGGACUGAGACACGGCCAAGGCUCCUACGGGAGGCAGCAGGAGGGAAUAUUCGGCAUUGGACGAAAGCCGGAUCGAGCAACGCCGCGUGAGUGAAGAAGGUUUUCGGAUCGUAAAAUUCUGUUGUUAGAGAAGCGGGAUCUAACCAAAAAGCCACGGCUAACUACGUGCCAGCAGCCGCGGUAAUAC
rnacentral:rRNA from 1 species